UUGGGCAAGUCUGGUGCCAGCAGCCGCGGUAAUUCCAGCUCCAAUAGCGUAUAUUAAAGUUGUUGCAGUUAAAAAGCUCGUAGUUGAAUUUCGGGGUCAGUAGGUUGGUCGUGCCACCGGUACGUACUGGUCUCACUGAUUCCUCCUUCCUGAUGAGCUGUAAUGCCAUUAAUUUGGUGUUGCAGGGAAUCUGGACUGUUACUUUGAAAAAAUUAGAGUGUUUAAAGCAGGCUAACGCUUGAAUACAUUAGCAUGGAAUAAUGAAAUAGGACGUUCGAUCCUAUUUUGUUGGUUUCUAGGAUUGACGUAAUGAUUAAUAGGGAUAGUUGGGGGCAUUAGUAUUCAAUUGUCUGAGGUGAAAUUCUUGGAUUUAUUGAAGACUAACUACUGCGAAAGCAUUUGCCAAGGAUGUUUUCAUUAAUCAAGAACGAAAGUUAGGGGAUCGAAGACGAUCAGAUACCGUCGUAAUCUUAACCAUAAACUAUGCCGACUAGGGAUCGGAUGAUGUUAAUUUUUUAAUGACUCAUUCGGCGCCUUACGGGAAAC
rnacentral:rRNA from 1 species